GCAAGUCGAGCGGUAGCACAGAGAGCUUGCUCUCGGGUGACGAGCGGCGGACGGGUGAGUAAUGUCUGGGAAACUGCCUGAUGGAGGGGGAUAACUACUGGAAACGGUAGCUAAUACCGCAUAACGUCGCAAGACCAAAGUGGGGGACCUUCGGGCCUCAUGCCAUCAGAUGUGCCCAGAUGGGAUUAGCUAGUAGGUGGGGUAACGGCUCACCUAGGCGACGAUCCCUAGCUGGUCUGAGAGGAUGACCAGCCACACUGGAACUGAGACACGGUCCAGACUCCUACGGGAGGCAGCAGUGGGGAAUAUUGCACAAUGGGCGCAAGCCUGAUGCAGCCAUGCCGCGUGUGUGAAGAAGGCCUUCGGGUUGUAAAGCACUUUCAGCGGGGAGGAAGGCGAUGAGGUUAAUAACCUUGUCGAUUGACGUUACCCGCAGAAGAAGCACCGGCUAACUCCGUGCCAGCAGCCGCGGUAAUACGGAGGGUGCAAGCGUUAAUCGGAAUUACUGGGCGUAAAGCGCACGCAGGCGGUCUGUCAAGUCGGAUGUGAAAUCCCCGGGCUCAACCUGGGAACUGCAUUCGAAACUGGCAGGCUAGAGUCUUGUAGAGGGGGGUAGAAUUCCAGGUGUAGCGGUGAAAUGCGUAGAGAUCUGGAGGAAUACCGGUGGCGAAGGCGGCCCCCUGGACAAAGACUGACGCUCAGGUGCGAAAGCGUGGGGAGCAAACAGGAUUAGAUACCCUGGUAGUCCACGCCGUAAACGAUGUCGAUUUGGAGGUUGUGCCCUUGAGGCGUGGCUUCCGGAGCUAACGCGUUAAAUCGACCGCCUGGGGAGUACGGCCGCAAGGUUAAAACUCAAAUGAAUUGACGGGGGCCCGCACAAGCGGUGGAGCAUGUGGUUUAAUUCGAUGCAACGCGAAGAACCUUACCUGGUCUUGACAUCCACAGAACUUUCCAGAGAUGGAUUGGUGCCUUCGGGAACUGUGAAAACAGGUGCUGCAUGGCUGUCGUCACCUCCUGUUGUGAAAUGUUGGGGUUAAGUCCCGCAACGAGCGCAACCCUUAUCCUUUGUUGUCAGCGGUUAAGCCCGGGAA
rnacentral:rRNA from 1 species